UGGGAAAAUGGUUAAUAUUCCAUUACUUCUGUGUAAUGCGAUGAGAGGACGGAGAAGGCUAAAUCAGCCUGGCGUUGGUUGUCCAGGUGAAAGGAUGUAGGCAUGUAUCUUAGGCAAAUCCGGGGUACUCUAUGCUGAGAUCUGAUAGCAAGCUGUACUUGUACAGCGAAGUGGUUGAUGCCAUGCUUCCAGGAAAAGUCUCUAAGCUUCAGUUACACAGGAAUCGUACCCGAAACCGACACAGGUGGUCAGGUCGAGUAGACCAAGGCGCUUGAGAGAACUCUGCUGAAGGAACUAGGCAAAAUGGUACCGUAACUUCGGGAGAAGGUACGCUGUUGUUGGUGAUGGAACUCGCUUCCUGAGCUGACGACAGCCGCAGAAACCAGGCCGCUGCAACUGUUUAUUAAAAACAUAGCACUCUGCAAACACGAAAGUGGACGUAUAGGGUGUGAUGCCUGCCCGGUGCUGGAAGGUUAAUUGAUGGGGUUAGCGUAAGCGAAGCUCUUGAUCGAAGCCCCAGUAAACGGCGGCCGUAACUAUAACGGUCCUAAGGUAGCGAAAUUCCUUGUCGGGUAAGUUCCGACCUGCACGAAUGGCAUAAUGAUGGCGGCGCUGUCUCCAGCAGAGGCUCAGUGAAAUCGAAAUCGCUGUGAAGAUGCAGUGUACCCGCGGCUAGACGGAAAGACCCCGUGAACCUUUACUGCAGCUUGACACUGAACUUUGACCUUACUUGUGUAGGAUAGGUGGGAGGCUUUGAAGCUGGAACGCUAGUUCCAGUGGAGCCGUCCUUGAAAUACCACCCUGGUAAUGUUGAGGUUCUAACUCUGUCCCGUGAUCCGGGACGAGGACCGUGUCUGGUGGGUAGUUUGACUGGGGCGGUCUCCUCCUAAAGAGUAACGGAGGAGUACGAAGGUGCGCUCAGCGUGGUCGGAAAUCACGCGUAGAGUAUAAAGGCAAAAGCGCGCUUAACUGCGAGACCCACAAGUCGAGCAGGUACGAAAGUAGGUCUUAGUGAUCCGGUGGUUCUGUAUGGAAGGGCCAUCGCUCAACGGAUAAAAGGUACUCUGGGGAUAACAGGCUGAUACCGCCCAAGAGUUCAUAUCGACGGCGGUGUUUGGCACCUCGAUGUCGGCUCAUCUCAUCCUGGGGCUGAAGCAGGUCCCAAGGGUAUGGCUGUUCGCCAUUUAAAGAGGUACGCGAGCUGGGUUUAGAACGUCGUGAGACAGUUCGGUCCCUAUCUACCGUGGGCGCUGGAAAUUUGAGAGGAUCUGCUCCUAGUACGAGAGGACCAGAGUGGACGAACCUCUGGUGUACCGGUUGUGACGCCAGUCGCAUCGCCGGGUAGCUAUGUUCGGAAGGGAUAACCGCUGAAAGCAUCUAAGCGGGAAGCCUACCUCAAGAUAAGAUUUCCCUAGGACUUUAUGUCCUCUAAAGAGCCGUUCGAGACUAGGACGUUGAUAGGUUGGAUGUGGAAGCAUAGUGAUAUGUGAAGCUGACCAAUACUAAUUGCUCGUGAGGCUUGACUAU
rnacentral:rRNA from 1 species